rnacentral:rRNA from 1 species
GUUGUAUGGUUAAGUGACUAAGCGUACACGGUGGAUGCCUUGGCAGUCAGAGGCGAUGAAAGACGUAGUAACUUGCGAUAAGCCCAGAUUAGGUAGUAACAACCAUUUGAGUCUGGGAUUUCUGAAUGGGGAAACCCACGUGCAUAAGCACGUAUCCUUACCUGAAUACAUAGGGUAAGGAGGCGAACCGGGGGAACUGAAACAUCUAAGUACCCCGAGGAAAAGAAAUCAACCGAGAUUCCGAAAGUAGCGGCGAGCGAAAUUGGACUAGCCCUUAAGCUUUACACGCGUUAGACGAACGGUCUGGAAAGUCCGACGAUACAGGGUGAUAGUCCCGUAGUUGACGACGUGUGUUCAGUGAAAUCGAGUAGGGCGGGACACGUGAUAUCCUGUCUGAAUAUGGGGGGACCAUCCUCCAAGGCUAAAUACUACUGACUGACCGAUAGUGAACCAGUACCGUGAGGGAAAGGCGAAAAGAACCCCUGUGAGGGGAGUGAAAUAGAACCUGAAACCGUGUACGUACAAGCAGUAGGAGCAGGCUUGUCCUGUGACUGCGUACCUUUUGUAUAAUGGGUCAGCGACUUAUAUUCAGUGGCAAGGUUAACCAUCUAGGGGAGCCGUAGGGAAACCGAGUCUUAACUGGGCGUUCAGUCUCUGGAUAUAGACCCGAAACCAGGUGAUCUAGCCAUGGGCAGGUUGAAGGUUGAGUAACAUCAACUGGAGGACCGAACCGACUAAUGUUGAAAAAUUAGCGGAUGACUUGUGGCUAGGGGUGAAAGGCCAAUCAAACCUGGAGAUAGCUGGUUCUCCCCGAAAGCUAUUUAGGUAGCGCCUCGGACGAAUACUACUGGGGGUAGAGCACUGUUAAGGCUAGGGGGUCAUCCCGACUUACCAACCCUUUGCAAACUCCGAAUACCAGUAAGUACUAUCCGGGAGACACACGGCGGGUGCUAACGUCCGUCGUGGAGAGGGAAACAACCCAGACCGCCAGCUAAGGUCCCAAAUUACUACUAAGUGGGAAACGAUGUGGGAAGGCUCAGACAGCCAGGAUGUUGGCUUAGAAGCAGCCAUCAUUUAAAGAAAGCGUAAUAGCUCACUGGUCGAGUCGGCCUGCGCGGAAGAUGUAACGGGGCUAAGUAGUAAACCGAAGCUGCGGCAAUGUGCUUUUGCACAUUGGGUAGGGGAGCGUUCUGUAAGCGGUUGAAGGUGUGUGGUAACGCAUGCUGGACGUAUCAGAAGUGCGAAUGCUGACAUGAGUAACGAUAAAGGGGGUGAAAAACCUCCUCGCCGGAAGACCAAGGGUUCCUGUCCAACGUUAAUCGGGGCAGGGUAAGUCGACCCCUAAGGCGAGGCCGAAAGGCGUAGUCGAUGGGAAACGGGUUAAUAUUCCCGUACUUCUUACAAUUGCGAUGGGGGGACGGAGAAGGCUAGGUGGGCCUGGCGACGGUUGUCCAGGUUCAAGUGCGUAGGCUUAAGAGUUAGGUAAAUCCGGCUCUUUCUAAGGCUGAGACACGACGUCGAGCACCUACGGGUGUGAAGUCAUUGAUGCCAUGCUUCCAGGAAAAGCCUCUAAGCUUCAGAUUGUAAGGAAUCGUACCCCAAACCGACACAGGUGGUCGGGUAGAGAAUACCAAGGCGCUUGAGAGAACUCGGGUGAAGGAACUAGGCAAAAUGGUACCGUAACUUCGGGAGAAGGUACGCUCUCGACGGUGAAGUCCCUCGCGGAUGGAGCUAUUGAGAGUCGCAGAUACCAGGUGGCUGCAACUGUUUAUUAAAAACACAGCACUGUGCAAAAUCGUAAGAUGACGUAUACGGUGUGACGCCUGCCCGGUGCCGGAAGGUUAAUUGAUGGGGUUAGACUUCGGUCGAAGCUCUUGAUCGAAGCCCCGGUAAACGGCGGCCGUAACUAUAACGGUCCUAAGGUAGCGAAAUUCCUUGUCGGGUAAGUUCCGACCUGCACGAAUGGCGUAAUGAUGGCCACGCUGUCUCCACCCGAGACUCAGUGAAAUUGAAAUCGCUGUGAAGAUGCAGUGUACCCGCGGCUAGACGGAAAGACCCCGUGAACCUUUACUACAGCUUGGCACUGAACAUUGACCCUACAUGUGUAGGAUAGGUGGGAGGCUUUGAAGCACGUACGCCAGUAUGUGUGGAGCCGUCCUUGAAAUACCACCCUUGUAGUGUUGAUGUUCUAACGUCGACCCCUAAUCGGGGUUGCGGACAGUGCCUGGUGGGUAGUUUGACUGGGGCGGUCUCCUCCCAAAGAGUAACGGAGGAGCACGAAGGUGGGCUAAUCACGGUUGGACAUCGUGAGGUUAGUGCAAUGGCAUAAGCCCGCUUGACUGCGAGAAUGACAAUUCGAGCAGGUGCGAAAGCAGGUCAUAGUGAUCCGGUGGUUCUGAAUGGAAGGGCCAUCGCUCAACGGAUAAAAGGUACUCCGGGGAUAACAGGCUGAUACCGCCCAAGAGUUCAUAUCGACGGCGGUGUUUGGCACCUCGAUGUCGGCUCAUCACAUCCUGGGGCUGAAGUCGGUCCCAAGGGUAUGGCUGUUCGCCAUUUAAAGUGGUACGCGAGCUGGGUUUAGAACGUCGUGAGACAGUUCGGUCCCUAUCUGCCGUGGGCGUUGGAAGAUUGAAGGGGGCUGCUCCUAGUACGAGAGGACCGGAGUGGACGAACCUCUGGUGUUCGGGUUGUGUCGCCAGACGCAUUGCCCGGUAGCUAAGUUCGGAAUCGAUAACCGCUGAAAGCAUCUAAGCGGGAAGCGAGCCCUGAGAUGAGUCUUCCCUGAUACUUUAAGUAUCCUAAAGGGUUGUCGGAGACUACGACGUUGAUAGGUCAGGUGUGUAAGUGCUGUGAGGCAUUGAGCUAACUGAUACUAAUUGCCCGUGAGGCUUAACCAUACAACACCCAAGGGGUUU